AUUUUAUGUUUUCUUGUGGUGUAAAAGUGUAUAUAUAAAACGAAUCGAGCUCAUUAUUUUUUUUCGUGAAAGGUUAAAUAUUAGAAAAUAUGGCAAAACGGAUUCGUUACAAGUUGUCCGACUUGACUGAUGAACAGUUGCUGGACUUGUUUGAGUCAGUCCCGUCGGAUGAGGAAGUGUCAGACAUAUCAAGUGACGACGGGGACGACGACUUGAAUUUGGAAGAAGCUCUGACCAAUGCACUAGAGGACGCUGAGACUGUAUCAUUUAUAGACUGUAAUGUUGAAAAUGUGCAAAAUGUGGUAAAGGAACCUGGGCCAUCACGGAAAACCGCCAAAAGGCCUCGAUCGCCAUUACCAAUUAUGGACGAAACAUAUUGCAAACAUAUCUUCGCCAUCUUCUGGUGGCUUCAAUGGUUUUGGUAUUGAAUCAAUAACAAAGGAGCCGAGUAAGAUUGUGUGGCGACAGCAAUGUUUGCAGUUGCAUGCGAACGACAUAGUCUUUCGAGGAGAUUCUUCGCUGCCAGCUGAAUUAAUGAAGCUUAGAACUCCAUCACAGCUAUUUUGCUAUUUUUUUAAUUCAGAAAUAAUGAAUAUGAUCACGGAGGAAACCAUGCGCGCAGCUUUAACGAAUAAUAUAUCAAAUAAGUUCAAAAUUAACAGUAAUGAUAUCCACCGUUACAUCGGUAUUUUGAUGUAUAUGUCCAUUUAUCGCUAUCCAAAUCUGAAAAGCUACUGGGCAAAACACGCGCUUGGACCUAUACAAACCUGCACGACCCGAACCAAAUUCGAGGGAAUUAAACAGUACUUCUCACUGCGAGAUGAGCGCGAGCGGAUCAAAAAGUUUCCCAAAACUUUAGUAUCUUAUAUCUGGUUGCAUAGAACUUUGCAGUUCUGAAAAGCAGCUAUAAAUAGGACCCAGACAUUUUUUAUCUGCAGCUUAACGCCUGGAAGAUAUUAAGAUAAGA